AGGCUCCUACGGGAGGCAGCAGUGGGGAAUAUUGCACAAUGGGGGAGACCCUGAUGCAGCGACGCCGCGUGAGUGAAGAAGUAUCUCGGUACGUAAAGCUCUAUCAGUAGGGAAGAAAAUGACGGUACCUGACUAAGAAGCCCCGGCUAACUACGUGCCAGCAGCCGCGGUAAUACGUAGGGGGCAAGCGUUAUCCGGAUUUACUGGGUGUAAAGGGAGCGUAGACGGCGUGCCAAGUCUGAUGUGAAAGGCCGGGGCUCAACCCCGGGACUGCAUUGGAAACUGGCAUGCUGGAGUGCCGGAGG
rnacentral:rRNA from 1 species